AGCAUGAAAUCUAUAAUAUGUAGAUUUUGAUGGCGACCGGCGUACGGGUGCGUAACACGUACGUAACCUACCUUUUGCUAGAAAAUAGCCUGAGGAAACUCGGAUUAAUAUUCUAUAAUAUAGAUAAAAUCGCAUGAUUUUACUAUUAAAGCAGAAAUGCGGCAAAAGAUGGGCGUGCGCCCGAUUAGUUAGUUGGUAAGGUAAAAGCUUACCAAGACAAUGAUCGGUAGGGGGCCUGAGAGGGUGAUCCCCCACACUGGUACUGAGAUACGGACCAGACUCCUACGGGAGGCAGCAGUGAGGAAUAUUGGUCAAUGGAGGAAACUCUGAACCAGCCACGCCGCGUGCAGGAAGAAUGCCUUACGGGUUGUAAACUGCUUUUGUUUAGGAAUAAAAAUUCUUACGUGAUAAGAAUUAUGAAUGUACUAUACGAAUAAGUGUCGGCAAACUCCGUGCCAGCAGCCGCGGUAAUACGGAGGACACAAGCGUUAUCCGGAUUUAUUGGGUUUAAAGGGUGCGUAGGCGGUUUAUUAAGUCAGUAGUGAAAUGUUGCAGCUCAACUGUUAAAAUUGCUAUUGAUACUGGUAGACUUGAGUGAGAUUGGAGUAGCUGGAAUGUGUGGUGUAGCGGUGAAAUGCAUAGAUAUCACACAGAACACCGAUCGCGAAAGCAGGUUACUAAAUCUAUACUGACGCUGAGGCACGAAAGCGUGGGGAGCAAACAGGAUUAGAUACCCUGGUAGUCCAC
rnacentral:rRNA from 2 species